UACGUAGGGGGCUAGCGUUGUCCGGAAUCAUUGGGCGUAAAGCGCGUGUAGGCGGUCCGGUAAGUCCGCUGUGAAAGUCGAGGGCUCAACCCUCGAAUGCCGGUGGAUACUGUCGGGCUAGAGUGCGGAAGAGGCGAGUGGAAUUCCUGGUGUAGCGGUGAAAUGCGUAGAUAUCAGGAAGAACACCAGUGGCGAAGGCGCUCUACUGGGCCGUAACUGACACUGAGGGACGAAAGCUAGGGGAGCGAAUGGG
rnacentral:rRNA from 1 species